rnacentral:lncRNA from 1 species
AAAAAUUCAUAUCAAAGGGAUGCAUGUUGCGCGGUUAUAGCGGUUAUAGUGGCAAUACACAUGAGUGGCUCCAUUCUCAAUGCUAAAAUGCAUUCAGUUGAUAAGGAUUCCCCAAAAGUCGGGGCAAUAUGUGAAAUUACAUCAGUGUACUUGCAAACAGACAGAUCAGGCACAUUGUAAUUUUGCUAAUGCAGAGACCUUCAGCUCUGAUCCUGAAGUUAAUAUUCUUCAUCUUCUCCCUAACAAUGUAGUUAUGCCCAACCUUUCCGGUCACACACACACACACACACACACACACACACACACACACACACAUGGAUCAGGGACUGAUUACAUGCCACAAUUACAACAUGAGCACGAGCUUCAGCAAACAAACAGGGCGAAAGACAGAAAAUGUGUUGACUGCAUAACCUGUAAAGAAGACAUUUGUACUACAGUAAUGUCCCUACGAUCUACGUACAUACUAAAAAUAUAGCAAACAUCCUGGCAAUUGGAUUAUAAAACAGAACAACGAAGACACUGGAGUAUAUACUGCCAAUCAUACUCAAUUAUCAACGAAAUCGAGCCAACUAAUUUAGAAGGGCAAAAAAGGAUUUGAUUAUGGUAACCAACCCGAACAUAGGUAAUGGUGGCUCCCUGGCAUGCCAUUUAUACGGCCCUCUCCAUCUGCAAGGGAGAACGACGAGACAACCACCAAGAAAGUCAAAGUGUGACUGGGAUAUGGAGGAUACUUCUUCCCAGAAACCAUAUGAUAGGUACCAGACACAAUAAAUAAAUGGAAAAAAAUAGAAGCUACUAUUCAACAAAAAAAAUCUCGGCCUAACUUCUGUGAUAACAAGUUCAGUUUGAAUGUGAAAUUUUAGCCGACGACAGUAAGAAACAUUAAUAUGAACAGCUGAGGAACAUAUCCCUCCAGAAAUGUCAUCAAAUAAGAUUACUAAAAUGAUUAUCACAGUUACAGUUAUGUCACCUGGUCUGCCCUACCUGAAGUCAUUAUCUGAGGCUACAAGGAGAUGGUUGCAGGAGGCACUUAGAUAAAGACAAUGUCUUCCUCUCCGACCAACACGGAAUCCGCUGCCUUCAGUCCGUCCUCGUUUUGCCAUUGUUCUUCCUACCAUGCACCGAUUAUCCACGACAGGCCUGACAAUCGACGAAUCAGCUGGAGCACCACACAAAAGUACAUCUGAUUCAUCAGGAAGCUACUUUUCUGUUUGAGAAAACCAUGUGAUAAAAUCAUAAACAUGUUAACUCACUUGUACUGGUGCUCACACAUAGGACAUGAUAACUAUCACAUAUAAAUCUCCAAAACUAGCAACAACUUUCUCCAGCGUCUAUUGCCAAAAUCGAAGCUUCUCUUCUAGAUCGUGCAAUAAAUGCAACUAAAAUAUAAAGAGUAAUUUGCGCUGAUUGAAGUGCACACGUACCAUAGUAUAAAAUCAAUUGUAGCCUCCUGCUCCACUUGUGCCGCUAUCUAUAAAUCGAAUAAACCUCCAAGUAAGCAAUUCAACAAGCACGGCAUGAGCACAAAACAGAAAUGGAUAUAUAGUUCAGUAAUUCUACGAAUUAAUCAAAUAGUGGAAUCCUAAUCAUAUAUUUUAAAUACAAAUAGAUCAAACAAAUAAGGACAUUGCUGGAGUUAUAGGAGGUUAAAAAAGAAAUGAUAGGAUGAGAAAUCAGGGCUCACCUGAAGCAACAGAGGUGAAAGCUGCAGACCAAGAAAGGAUGCCCCUGCCUCUGAUGAAUAAAUAGGCAGUUUUUCGAUUAAAUUAGUCCAUGAAUAAAUCAUGAGCAUGACAUGAACAGCAUUGAUAACACACUGAUUACGAUCUAACAGAGCAUGUACUACGCACAUAGUAGAAACAUCUACGCAUAUCGCUAGUACUGCUACAACAGAAAGAAACACGAGAGGGAUAAGCGAUGUAUACCCUCCAAUCGUCCACGCGGCGGCGGUGACGGUGGCAGCAGCCGCGGCAUCCUCGGCGGCCUUCUUGUCAG